AACGAACGCUGGCGGCAUGCCUAACACAUGCAAGUCGAACGAGACCUUCGGGUCUAGUGGCGCACGGGUGCGUAACGCGUGGGAACCUGCCCUUAGGUUCGGAAUAACUCCCCGAAAGGGGUGCUAAUACCGGAUAAUGUCUUCGGACCAAAGAUUUAUCGCCUUUGGAUGGGCCCGCGUUGGAUUAGCUAGUUGGUAGGGUAAAAGCCUACCAAGGCGACGAUCCAUAGCUGGUCUGAGAGGAUGAUCAGCCACACUGGGACUGAGACACGGCCCAGACCCCUAGGGGGGGCGGCAGGGGGGAAAAUUGGACAAGGGGCGAAAGCCUGAUCCAGCAAUGCCGCGUGGGUGAUGAAGGCCUUAGGGUUGUAAAGCUCUUUUCCCCGGGAUGAUAAUGACAGUACCGGGAGAAUAAGCCCCGGCAAACCCCGG
rnacentral:rRNA from 1 species